GGGGUAGAGGUGCGAAAUUUAAGAGUAAAGUUGCGGAGUUAAGCGCAUUGAAACAACUUAAAAGGAAAUUUCGCCGAAGUGUUUAGCUAAUGCUUUAAUGCUGAACAACUGGGCUUGUAUAAAAUAUGUACAAGACUGUCACAAUAUUUUAAUUUGUGGAGAGCUAUCA
rnacentral:ncRNA from 1 species